UACAGAGGGUGUGAGCGUUAAUCGGAAUUACUGGGCGUAAAGCGUGCGUAGACGGUAGCGUAAGUCAGAUGUGAAAGCCCCGGGCUCAACCUGGGAAUUGCAUUUGAGACUGCUCUGCUCGGGUGCGGAAGAGGGAAGCGGAAUUUCCGGUGUAGCGGUGAAAUGCGUAGAUAUCGGAAGGAACACCAGUGGCGAAAGCGGCUUCCUGGUCCGACACCGACGUUCAGGCACGAAAGCGUGGGGAGCAAACAGG
rnacentral:rRNA from 1 species